rnacentral:rRNA from 1 species
UACGUAGGGGGCGAGCGUUGUCCGGAAUCAUUGGGCGUAAAGCGCGUGUAGGCGGCCCGGUAAGUCCGCUGUGAAAGUCCAGGGCUCAACCCUGGGAUGCCGGUGGAUACUGUCGGGCUCGAGUCCGGAAGAGGCGAGUGGAAUUCCUGGUGUAGCGGUGAAAUGCGCAGAUAUUGGGAGGAACACCAGUGGCGAAGGCGGUCCCCUGGGCCGGAACUAACGCUGAGGCGCGAAAGCGUGGGUAGCAAACGGG